AUUGAACGCUGGCGGCAUGCUUUACACAUGCAAGUCGAACGGUAACAGGCCGCAAGGUGCUGACGAGUGGCGAACGGGUGAGUAAUGCAUCGGAACGUGCCCAGUCGUGGGGGAUAACGCAGCGAAAGCUGCGCUAAUACCGCAUACGAUCUAUGGAUGAAAGCGGGGGACCGUAAGGCCUCGCGCGAUUGGAGCGGCCGAUGUCAGAUUAGGUAGUUGGUGGGGGAAAGGCUCACCAAGUCAACGAUCUGUAGCUGGUCUGAGAGGACGACCAGCCACACUGGGACUGAGACACGGCCCAGACUCCUACGGGAGGCAGCAGUGGGGAAUUUUGGACAAUGGGCGCAAGCCUGAUCCAGCAAUGCCGCGUGCAGGAAGAAGGCCUUCGGGUUGUAAACUGCUUUUGUACGGAACGAAACGGUCCUGGUUAAUACCUGGGGCUAAUGACGGUACCGUAAGAAUAAGCACCGGCUAACUACGUGCCAGCAGCCGCCGUAAAAC
rnacentral:rRNA from 1 species